GAUGAACGCUAGCGACAGGCCUAACACAUGCAAGUCGAGGGGCAGCACAAGGAGUAAUCUGAGGUGGCGACCGGCGCACGGGUGAGUAACACGUAUGCAACCUGCCUUUAAGCGGGGAAUAACCCGGAGAAAUCCGGACUAAUACCGCAUAAUACCAUAUUACUGCAUGGUGAUAUGUUUAAACAUUUAUGGCUUACAGAUGGGCAUGCGUAUGAUUAGCCGGUUGGUGGGGUAACGGCUCACCAAGGCAACGAUCAUUAGGGGUUCUGAGAGGAAGGUCCCCCACACUGGUACUGAGACACGGACCAGACUCCUACGGGAGGCAGCAGUGAGGAAUAUUGGUCAAUGGGCGAGAGCCUGAACCAGCCAAGUCGCGUGAAGGAAGAAGGUUCUAUGGAUUGUAAACUUCUUUUGCACGGGAAUAAAGUGAGCUACGUGUAGCUUAUUGUAUGUACUGUGCGAAUAAGGAUCGGCUAACUCCGUGCCAGCCGCCGCAGUAACAC
rnacentral:rRNA from 1 species